rnacentral:lncRNA from 1 species
CGAGAUUGGUUGGUCGACGGCGAGAAGCAAACAGAUUGGGCGGGAUUGGUUGGUCGACGGCGAGAAGAAGAAGAAGGUCUGUUACUUAUUUUAGGUUUUAGGGGUUUUGGGGAGAAAGGGAAGAUCUGUUACUCAUUUUAGGUUUUAGGGGUUUUGGGGAGAAAGGGAAGAUCUGUUACUCAUUUUAGGUUUUAGGGGUUUUGGGGAGAAAGGGAAGAUCUGUUACUCAUUUUAGGUUUUAGGGGUUUUGGGGAGAAAGGGAAGAUCUGUUACUCAUUUUAGGUUUUAGGGGUUUUGGGGGGAAAGGGUUUAUUUGGUACUGAUUAACAUUUUGGCUCUAUUAUUUUUUUUUUACUCCAUUAAAUUUUUGUUUGGGCUUCAUUUAAAAAAUUUUGAUUUUAGCUUAAUUGAAAUUUUUUUGCCCCCAUUUAAAAAAUUAAGAUUUUGGCUCCAUUGAAAUUUGGUGUAUUAAAAAAAUAGGAUUUUGCCUCAAAUAAAUUAUUUUUGCUUACAUUGAACAAAUAUUUAUACAAAAUUAUUAUUACAAAUAAUUAAGAUUUUGGCUGAGUUAAAAAAUAUUAAUUUUAAAAUUUUGAUGUCUAUAGCCACAAAUUUAAUUGUGUAACUAUAACAAUUAGCGACAAAUUUAUGUUACCGAAGGUAUAAGACACCUAUACCAACAAUAAUAAUUUAUCUGUGGGUAUAGUUUAUCUAUACCUACAGUUUUUAAUUUUGUUACUAUAAGCUACUGUAGGUAUAUGUCUAUUUUCUUGUAGUG